rnacentral:rRNA from 1 species
UUGAACGCUGGCGGCAGGCCUAACACAUGCAAGUCGAGCGGAUGAAGGGAGUUUGCUCCUGGAUUCAGCGGCGGACGGGUGAGUAAUGCCUAGGAAUCUGCCUGGUAGUGGGGGAUAACGUCCGGAAACGGGCGCUAAUACCGCAUACGUCCUGAGGGAGAAAGUGGGGGAUCUUCGGACCUCACGCUAUCAGAUGAGCCUAGGUCGGAUUAGCUAGUUGGUGGGGUAAAGGCCUACCAAGGCGACGAUCCGUAACUGGUCUGAGAGGAUGAUCAGUCACACUGGAACUGAGACACGGUCCAGACUCCUACGGGAGGCAGCAGUGGGGAAUAUUGGACAAUGGGCGAAAGCCUGAUCCAGCCAUGCCGCGUGUGUGAAGAAGGUCUUCGGAUUGUAAAGCACUUUAAGUUGGGAGGAAGGGCAGUAAGUUAAUACCUUGCUGUUUUGACGUUACCAACAGAAUAAGCACCGGCUAACUUCGUG